GCCGCCGUUGCAUAUGCUGAUUGUAGGAUUGCUGCCUGCUUGUGUCUUCUGCUACUCAUUCACAGACCUGGUCGUGUUGAGCAGUUGUUUGGCACUUGUGAGUGGUGUUUCCUGCUUUCAGUCGUCAGCAUCACUGGCUGAGUGGAAAUAAUCCUUGGAUGCUAAUUGGUUUGCUAUCGCAAAUUGGUUGCUUCCUUGCGA
rnacentral:rRNA from 1 species